AACGAACGCUGGCGGCAUGCCUAACACAUGCAAGUCGAACGAUCCCUUCGGGGAUAGUGGCGCACGGGUGCGUCACGCGUGGGAACCUGCCCUUAGGUUCGGAAUAACUCAGAGACAUUUGAGCUAAUACCGGAUAAUGUCUUCGGACCAAAGAUUUAUCGCCUUUGGAUGGGCCCGCGUUGGAUUAGCUAGUUGGUGGGGUAAAGGCCUACCAAGGCGACGAUCCAUAGCUGGUCUGAGAGGAUGGUCAGCCACACUGGGACUGAGACGCGGCCCAGACUCCUACGGGAGGCGGCAGUGGGGAAUAUUGGACAAUGGGCGAAAGCCUGAUCCAGCAAUGCCGCGUGAGUGAUGAAGGCCGGAGAGUUGUAAAGCUCUUUUACCCGGGAUGAUAAUGACAGUACCGGGAGAAUAAGCCCCGGCUAACUCCGUG
rnacentral:rRNA from 1 species